CUUCUUCAUCUCACUUUCUCCUUUUCUUCUUGCUAUUUUUCCUCCUCUCUCCUCUUCUUCUUUGCACUCGCUCCUCCUCUCUACUCUUCUUUUUCUCGCUUGCUUCUUUUCCUCCUUUCUCCUCUUCUUCUCACUCCUCACACUCUCUUCAUCUCUCUCUCCUUUUUUUCUCACUCUCUCCUCUUCCUCCACUCUCCUCUUCUUCCUCUCACUCUCUUCUCUCACUCUCCUUCUCCUCACUUGCUUCUCUUCCUCCAAUCUCCUCUUCUUCUCACUCCCUGCUCUUCUUCUCACUCUCUCCUCUUCCUCCUCUCUCACUCUCCUUCCUCUCACUCCUCUUCCUCCUCUCUU
rnacentral:lncRNA from 1 species